GUCCACGCCCUAAACGAUGUCAACUAGUUGUUCGGUGAGGAGACUCAUUGAGUAACGCAGCUAACGCGUGAAGUUGACCGCCUGGGGAGUACGGCCGCAAGGUUAAAAACUCAAAAGGAAUUGACGGGGACCCGCACAAGCGGUGGAUGAUGUGGAUUAAUUCGAUGCAACGCGAAAAAACCUUACCUACCCUUGACAUGUCAGGAAUCCUUGAGAGAUUGAGGAGUGCCCGAAAGGGAGCCUGAACACAGGUGCUGCAUGGCUGUCGU
rnacentral:rRNA from 1 species